UGCCUGCUGAAUAUCGCAGCGAAGUGAGACCACUUGAAGCUUACGAAGCUCUUCCAUACGACCAAUAUGCCUAUUAUUUCACCGUACAUGCCGAUGAAGACAUACGUUAUAAAUACGUCAACCCCGGCGACUCGUCUGGCUGGGAUUAUAGCCGUACAUGAAGACCUGAUGGAAAUCUUGACGCGAUUGCUUCGAAGGUUGCGGCUGUUGUAUAGAUUGAGAUAUUUAAUGGACGACUCGUUCUACUCGGAUUUAUUAACGCCAUACGAGUAGGCUUCUGUCUGAGUCUCCACCAAGCACUGCUCCCUCGUCCUCGAGAAGCCCUUCGCCAGACAGCUCCGGUCACACAUCCCCUGCCUCGACGAAAUGGAAGACCUCUUCAGGCGGGCUCUUGAUAAAUGAUAUAACGAAAUGUAAUUUUGUAAUAUUGAGAUGGUGCGAGUUGAAGGUGCUAUUUGUUUG